AAUGGCUGCAGUAAUUUGACUGUACAAAGGUAGCAUAAUCAUUAGUUUUUUAAUUAAAAGCUUGUAUGAAAGGUUGGACGAAAUAAAAUCUGUCUCUUUUUAAUAUUAUUAGAAUUUAAUUUUUAAGUUAAAAAGCUUAAAUUUAAAUAAAAGACGAGAAGACCCUAUAGAGUUUUAUAAUUUUAAUUUAUUAAUUAAUUUAGAUUUAUUGAUUUUAUUUUAUUAAAAUUAUUUUGUUGGGGUAAUAGAAAGAUUAAAUAAAUUCUUUUUUUAAAAAAUCAUUAAUUUAUGAUAAUUUUAUGAUCCAUGAAAUUUUGAAUGUAAGAUUAAAUUACCUUAGGGAUAACAGCGUAAUUUUUUUUAAGAGUUCAUAUCGAUAAAAAAGUUUGCGACCUCGAUGUUGGAUUAAAGAUUAAUUUAGGUGUAGAAGUUUAAAUUUUUGGUCUGUUCGACCAUUAAAUCUUUACAUGAUCUGAGUUCAAACCGGUGUAAGCCAGGUUGGUUUCUAUCUUUAUUAAAUAUAUAUAUUUUAGUACGAAAGGACCAAAUAUAUUAUAUAUUAAUAUUUAAAUUAUUGAAUAU
rnacentral:rRNA from 1 species